rnacentral:rRNA from 1 species
GACGAACGCUGGCGGCGUGCUUAACACAUGCAAGUCGAGCGGAGCGGCGAACGGGUGCGUAACGCGUGAGUAACUGCCCCCCUCUCUGGGAUAACAGUUGGAAACGGCUGCUAAUACCGGAUAGUGGGGGAUGACUCGCGUCCUAUCAGCUUGUUGGUGGGGUAGUGGCCUCCCAAGGCGACGCCGGGGAGCCGGCCUGGGAUGAGGACCGGCCACAUUGGGCUGAGAUACGGCCCAAAGUCCUACGGGAGGCAGCAGUGGGGAACAUUGCACAAUGGGGGAAACCCUGAUGCAGCAACGCGGGGGCGGGAUGACGGCCUUCGGGGUGUAAACCGCUUUCAGCCAUGACGCGGUAGUGGCAGAAGAAGCACCGGCUAACUACGUGCCAGCAGCCGCGGUAAUAC